rnacentral:rRNA from 1 species
UACGUAGGGCGCAAGCGUUGUCCGGAAUUAUUGGGCGUAAAGAGCUCGUAGGCGGCUUGUCGCGUCGGCUGUGAAAACCCGCGGCUCAACUGUGGGCGGGCAGCUGAUACGGGCAGGCUGGAGUUCGGUAGGGGAGACUGGAAUUCCUGGUGUAGCGGUGAAAUGCGCAGAUAUCAGGAGGAACACCGGUGGCGAAGGCGGGUCUCUGGGCCGAUACUGACGCUGAGGAGCGAAAGCGUGGGGAGCGAACAGG